rnacentral:misc_RNA from 1 species
UUUCCGUAGGUGAACCUGCGGAAGGAUCAUUAUUGUAUAACCGAGGUGCGAGGGCUGUCGCUGACCCAAAAGGUCGUGCACUCACGAGUGCCCUCACACACCUCCAUCUCACCCCUAUGUUCACAACCGCGCACGUCCCCCUUUGACUUGUUCGGACGGGUGAUUCCGUUUUCACUCCUUCUUUUGAUUCAUCGUAUAAUGUAUUUUUUUUUUUUCCGUUCACGCAGUCACUACUACUUUCCACAACGUAUCUCUAGGCUCCAGCAUCGAUGAAGACCC